rnacentral:tRNA from 1 species
GGAGAGGUGUCCGAGUUGGCCGAAGGAGCACGACUGGAAAUCGUGUAGACGGGCAUAACCUGUCUCGAGGGUUCGAAUCCCUCUCUCUCCGCCA